ensembl:lncRNA
AUGACAGAUGACAGUGAACAAGCUAAGGUACAGCCAUCUGAAUACCUUGACAGCAAGAUCCCUCUAUGUGUAAUCUCAGAAACUUCGACUGAAACAGAAAUUCAUGCUCCAAGAAAAUCACUACCAAUAUUAAAGACUGACACUGAACAGACUGAAGUCAAAACAACUGUACCGUUAACCACAGAGAUGCUACCUGAACCAACAGCAAGAGUAUAUGAAUCUGCGGUUUCUACAAGCAGCCAUGGUGCAAAUGAAACUAAAAGUGAGAAUUUUGUUUCUGUUGCUUUGGAAACAAAGUCUGAUAAUGAUGAGAUUGCAAAUGAAAAGAUGCCAGUUUCCUCAUCUGCAGCUGUCUACAGCUAUGAAACCACAGUGCAAGACACAGACUUGGAAUUACACAGCACUGAGAGUCUUAGCACAGAAGGACAAGAAAGCCAGUUGUCUAUUGUAGUUGUGAGUUCAGUUACUGAUAGAGUAGAAGUGGAGAACUCUGAAGCAGUGACUGCAGAGCCAGAGAAAGAGGAAGAGGACUCAUAUAUUUCACAUUCUCAAGGGGAACCUUGUGGAGAAGGUGAAGCACAAACCAAAAAGGUUGCUGCGUUCAUUUUAAAUUUGGAUACAGUGGGCACAGAUAGUGCAGAGACAUAUUCCCACACAUCCACAGAUGAUGCUACGGUGAAAGCAGCCUCUACUAGUUCUAUUUUAAAUGAGAAGACACUGGGCAAGCAAGAGCAUGAAACAAUGGCCCCUCUAGAAGCUGGAAUUUCUGAAGUAGCCAUAGAACCAAUUAGCAUACAGUCUUCUCUUUAUGAGCCAAGUAUGGUGAAUGUUUUAGAAAUUAGUUCAGCAAUAGAACCAGAGCAGUCACAGCUCAAUGAAACAGACACUAACGGACAAGUGCAGACAACAGGAGGUCCACCUGCUGAAGAACACAGUAGUGGAGAUGAUGCUGCCAGAGGUAUUGGAACCAUGACUUGGAACAAGGGAUCAAAUGCUGCAAUUGCUGAAAGAGAGAGGAACUGGACUACAAAUAAUGGUCUGCAUGUAAUCCAAUGCGGAUCUAUUAUUCUAGACUUCCCUGAGGGUGUGGAGAUGCAGAGACAUCAUGCUUGUGAAGCUACUCUUUCCAGGGAACCCUCUGAGGCACAGAUUCAGGGAUCAGAAAGAAUGGAGACGGAAUAUGAGGCAAAAUCUGAUAAAACAGAAACAGGGGUUCUAGCCAGCACAAACAGACCUUUAGAAGCAUCAGCAUCUGAACCGGCUGAUACAAACCUAAACCUACUGACAAGGGAAGUUGGAGUCAUGCAUGUCGAUGUAGAAGAAGAGACAAAAAAGACCCCAUCAGAUGAUAAAACACAAUUAAUUAAAACUAAUCCUAAACUUAAACCUCCAAUCAAGCAACAAAAUGAGGUAGAAACUGAGGUCCAAACAAACAAAAUGCAUGUCUCAACAAGAGUAGAAGAAAAGCCUGAAGGUGAAGAAGCCAUUGGUGUCGUUUUGGGAAAAGAGACAAAGACCCAAUCAAGUGGUAAAGCACAAUCCAAAGAAAUUGAACCAAAACUAACACCUCCAGUCAAGUUCCCAAUUGACUGGGACACUGAGGCACAACCCAAAAUAAUUAAUGUCUCACUAACACAGGAAGAGAAACCUGAAGUUGUUAUUGCAGAUGUUAUUGUAGAAGAAGAGAUAAACAAGACCCCAUCAGGUGAAAAAGCACAAUUAAUGGAAUCUGAACCUAAAAUGAUGCCGCCAGUCAGGCAAAGAAAUGAUAGUAAAACUGACGCCCAGUCAAACAAUGUAGAUGUCUUAACACAAAAGGAGAAAGCUGAAGGUGAAGAGGCCAUUGAUAUCAUUGUAGAAGAGGAGACAAAGACAACAUCAUCAGAUGAUAAAGGACAAUCUGUAGAGGCUGAACCUGAACUGACACUUUCAAUCAUGCAGAGGAGUGACCACAAAACUGAUGUCCAGUCAGAAAAGGUGGAUGUAUCACCAGAGGAGAAAACUGAAUGUGAAGAAGCCUUGUAUGUCAUUAAGGAAUGGAAUGACUGGGACACUGAGGGUCAAUCUGAAAGUAUUAAUGUCUCACUGACACCAGAGGAAAAACAUGAAGUUGGAGACACUGCAGAUGUCAUUGUAGAAGAAGAGACAAACAAGGCCCCAUCAGAUGAAAAAGCACAUUCCAUAGAAGCUGAACCUAAACCAACACCACCAGCCAGGCAAAGAAAUGGAAAGAAGAUUGCUGUCCAAUCAAACAAGGUGAAUAUUUCAACAACAUCAGAGAAGAAACCUGAAGGUGCAGAGGCUACCAGUGUCAUUGUAGAAGACGAGAUAAAGACUCUAUUAGAUGAUAAAGCACAAUGCCUAGAAGGGGAACCUAUACUGACACCACCAGCCAGGGAACAAAAUAAGGGGGAAACUGAUGUCCAAUCAAACAAGGUAAAAAUGUCAACAACAUCAGAGAAGGAACCUGGGGACACCAUGCAUAUCCCUGAAGAGGAAGUGACAAAAAAGACAUUGGUUAAUAAAAGGCAAUUCAUAGAAGCUGAGCCUAAACCAACCCCACCAGUCAGAAGACAAAAUGAUGGUGAAACUGAGGUCCAGUUAGACAAGGUGGAUGUCACACCAACACCUCCCACCAGACGACAUAAAUGUGAUAGGUUAUUUUUAAAUAUUGAAUCACAGAUAGAGGGAGAAGUUCUUCCCACCCCACCAAGCAGAAGACGUAGAGAGAAAAUGGGACGUGAGAGGUUUUCACUUGAUUUAGAGUCCCAACCCACACCACCAGCUAGACGACGUAAAGAAAAAGAAGAUAGUAGAUUAUCGCUCGAUCUGGAGACCCAACCCACACCACCAGCAAGACGACGUAAAGAAAAAGAAGAUAGUAGAUUAUCGCUCGAUCUGGAGCCCCAACCCACGCCACCGGCAAGACGACGUAAAGAAAAAGAAGAUAGUAGAUUAUCGCUCGAUCUGGAGACCCAACCCACACCACCGGCAAGACGACGUAAAGAAAAAGGUGAAGAUCAAGGAUUAUCAGUUGAUCUGGCGCCUCAACCAACUCCACCAUCAAGAAGAUGCAAGGAUAAGCCAGAGAAUGACACAUUAUUUUACAGUGCUGAAAUAGGAAAAAGUGAUAAUGAGCAAACUGUUGAACAUAAAGACAAGGAGGAGCACACUGUUAAACCAACUUCACCUGUCAGACGCAAAAUUAGUCAGGUUGAAAGUGAUGUGGCAGUUUGCAAAAACCAAGAAGAGAAAGGGACCUUUGUGAAACCCACACUGCCAACAAGAAGGAAAGAUAGCAAAGUUGAAAAAGAAAUCGUCACAGCUGCUUCUAAUAUAAAAGAAGAUAUGAGCAUAUAUAACCCAACUCCACCUCUGAGGCAAAAAGACAGCCAAGUGGAAACUGAGAUGGUUUCAACCACUCCUGAAUGUCUACCUGCCCUACCAACUCCACCAACCAGUCAAAAGAAAGAUCAAAUAGAAGCUGAAAGAGCUCCAUUAGCACCAGAAGAGCCACAGGUCAUACCAACUCCAACAACCAGCGACAAAGAAACUUCAGACAAUGAAAAUAUUUCUAAGUUUGUAAGACUGGAAGUGAAAGCUGAUGUUGAAGCAAUAACUAAACAGGAAGAUAAAAAUGAGUAUGAUACAAAGUCAUUGGUUGGUCAGGAGCAGCAAGAGGAGGGGCAGGACCCAGAAUCAAUAAGUGUAAUAAAUCAAACAGAGAACAUCAGUGAAAUGCAGGUAACUUUAAUGUGCAUGAUUUCACCAAAAGGAACAAAUCUGCAUGUUAUCUGCAUGCUGGACUGUAAUGGAAGUCAUCAACUGAGGAUGUCUCGAUAUUUGAUUUGUAGGGUGAAAUUAAUUCCCUUUUUUUCCAACAGUCCAAUUGUCUAA